AUACGUAGGUCCCGAACGUUGCGCGAAAUUACUGGGCGUAAAGGGUCCGUAGGCGGUCUGGUAAGUGGAAGGUGAAAGCCUGGGGCUCAACUCCAGAAUUGCCUUCCAAACUGCCGGACUUGAGGCAGGGAGAGGUCGGCGGAGUUCCCGGUGUAGCGGUGAAAUGCGUAGAUAUCGGGAGGAACACCAGUGGCGAAGGCGGCCGACUGGAACUGUCCUGACGCUGAGGGACGAAAGCCAGGGGAGCGAACCGGAUUAGAAACCCUAGUAGUCC
rnacentral:rRNA from 1 species